CUUUGUGUUCUAAAUAGCCUGUGAAGCAACAGAAAAGGAACAACCUCUGCCAAAAGCAGAAGCUGAGGUCUGCAAGGUCGUCACAGCCAGUAGAGCAAAGAAAGCAAAUGGAUUCACAGAGAGGUUGAAGAUACCAAUCCCAGUUCAUCAAAAUAUUGCAGAUUGUGCCAGCACAAUCUUUGACGGGAUAGACCUCCUGGAAAAGAACCUGGAAAAACAGUCUGAAAUGCAAAAAUUCUCAACAUUUUUUCUCAACCUCAAAAAACUAAAAACAUCACUCCAAAAGAACCUGAAAACACAGGCAAGUUGUGAUACAGAAAGUGUGACUGUGAGUAAAUUCAUAAACGAACUGGAACGUUUCAUCAGAACACAUUGCCUAAGAGCAAAACAUUGUGAAUGAUGUUAGAUUCUAUAGUCAACACAAAUUUAAAUGAACAGGGGACAUUCAUAUUUCUUUUAGAGUUAUUCUUUCUGUGUGUGAAGACAUGCAUAUCAUUAUCUCCUCAGGAACGGUACUGAUUUGUGUUUGGAAUAUUACCUUUGCUACCAUCGGGACCAAGAAUGUAAUUUUUGUUUUUAAAUGGAAUUUUAAUGCUGCAGAAACAGAUAAAUGCCAGUGUGGUAUACUACCAUGUCCCCGCUCAGAAUACCUGUUUUAUCUCAUCUAAUGGGUCAAACUCACCUUGGUAUAACUAUGAUUUCAGCAGAGGAUGAAUUUGGACUACCGUGUCUAAAAUAUUUUUGCUUUCCUUGUAUUUUGAAGAGCAUUCGUCAUGAUAGAAACAAUAAUGUAACUGGCGUAAAAGUGACUUAGAGAUGUCCACAAAUGCAGCAUAAAGUCCAUUUGAAUAUUAUAUACACACACAAAUGAAUUAUAUUUAUACAACUUCUUUUGUUAUGAGAACUAUUGCAUGGACUCUCGUGUUAUGUAAACUAAGGUAUAAAGUUUGAGUCAUAUCCAAUGAUUAUGAUAAGAUGUGGUAUAAAUAUACUUCCUUUGCAUUUUAAUCUUGCAAAGAUCAUCUAUUUAUGGGGAUAUGUUUCAUGAAGGGAUCAAAUGUAGGGGACGGUGUGACAGGAUUCAGAACCUUUCAAGUUUAAGGCCAAACCUACAUUAGAAACAGGUGCCUGUAUGGUAGUGGUGGGCAACUUGUGGGAAGCGGCAGCCAGCACGUCCCUACAGCCCACGUUGCUUCCCGCCACUCCCAUUGGCUGAGAAUGGCGAACCACGGCCACUGAGAGCUGUGGGCAGCUGUGCCUGCAGAUGAUCAGUGUCAACAAACUGCCUCGCAGCACACCAGCAGAUUACCCUGACGGGCUUCGUGCGGUCUAUGGGCCGCAGGCUGCCCACCACUGCUGUAUUGCAAUGUCAGUUAGGGGAUGUGAUUUUUUGCAGUAUUUUCAUACCAACAAAAUCCCAAAUGUAGAUGAAGUUAUACCAGCAUAAAAGUGCUUUUUCCGGUAUAACUUUCAGGGAAUUGGCAUAAGCUAUACCGGUUAAAGCACUCUUUUGCUGAUACAUGCUGUGUCUACAUUAGGAGGGUUAUGGCUAUACUGGCAAAAAAAAUUCUACAGUAGAUUUGGCCUUCAUCACUGGUUUGAAAUGAACUGAGGAUAACUAGCAAAAUUCAUUUUCACCUGCUAUUUGUUUGGUGGUCUCUCUAGCCUUGGCUGUAGAGCUUAUUUUGUACAACGAUCAGCAAAGAUUAAAAGAGCACAGCUGUUCACAAUGAUUUAGGUGUUGGUGUAGACAAUCUUGUCAAGAAGAUUUGGCUACAUUAGAUAUUGAAGGUGGUGCAACAGCAUCCAUUGACGAAGAUUAGGUACAGACUGUGUGUUAAAGUACACACGCCACCUUAUAAAACUUACCACCUCUGGACCAACUGUUGGCAGCAAUCUCUGCAGAGAAGCUAGGGACUGAAUGAGCCAUCAGGACUGAACUCUCUCCUCCCCACAGAGGAGAUCUUCCAGGAAAGACAUGGAACACUGAAGCUGGAUGGAGGAAGCUUGCACUCCACUGAUUCUAUGGGGAAAUGGAGAACUUCAAUCUCCUAAGCCUUCAGCUCAACAACUUUCAU